UACGGGGGGAUGCAAGCGUUAUCCGGAUUUAUUGGGUUUAAAGGGUGCGUAGGCUGUGAGGUAAGUCAGCGGUGAAAUGCCCCCGCUCAACGGGGUGAAGUGCCAUUGAUACUGCCUUGCUGGAAUGCGGAUGCCGUGGGAGGAAUGUGUGGUGUAGCGGUGAAAUGCAUAGAUAUCACAACAGAACACCGAUUGCGAAGGCAUCUCACGAAUCCGCGAUUGACGCUGAUGCACGAAAGCGUGGGGUAUCAAACAGGAAUAGAUACCC
rnacentral:rRNA from 1 species